rnacentral:rRNA from 1 species
GCUGUUAAGGGUUCGUAGUUGAAUUGAGGGCGCUCAAGUGGUCGGUCCAGUCCCACUCUGCUUCGUGCAGUCGGCGACUCCCGCUCUUGACGCUCGUGAACGACAGAAACAAAUAUCACGGGUUCUACUUCCCCCCAACAUCUCUACGCGUUCUAUGCACGCCGUGUGAGGGGAUGCCCGUGUUUUUUCUGUGACUAAAAAAGCGCGACCAAAGCAGUCAAGCGACAUGAAUUUCAAGCAUGGGAUAACAGCGAAGCAUCUUACGGAUUACCGUUUCGGCUUUUGUUGGUUUUAAGAUCUGUGGGAGGUUAUGGUCUGGUAUGACAAGCGGUUCGCGGGCACCUAGUGUCUCGCUCGCCUUCCGCCCCUUCGGCUCUUGUCGUCGGGAUCCGGUUUACUCGGACUAGGAAUGAGGAGGGUUGUUCGGGGGAGAACGUACUUGAGCGUGAGAGGUGAAAUUCUUAGACCGCUCAAGACGAACUACAGCGAAGGCAUUCUCCAAGGAUACCUUCAUCAAUCAAGAACCAAAGUG